GACGAACGCUGGCGGCGUGCCUAAUACAUGCAAGUCGAACGCAGUGGGGACGGGUGAGUAACACGUGGGUAACCUCCCAUCAGAGGGGAUAACACUUGGAAACAGGUGCUAAACCGAUACUGAUGGAUGGACCCGCGGUGCAUUAGCUAGUUGGUGAGGUAACGGCUCACCAAGGCCACGAUGCAUAGCCGGCCUGAGAGGGGGAUCGGCCACACUGGAACGUAGACACGGCCCAGAUGCCUACGGGAGGCAGCAGUGGGGAAUCUUCGGCAAUGGACGAAAGUCGGACCGAGCAACGCCGCGUGGGUGAAGAAGGUUUUCGGAUCGUAAAACUCUGUUGUUAGAGAAGCGGUAUCUACCCAGAAAGCCCCGGCUAACGACGUGCCAGCCGCCGCGGUAAUUC
rnacentral:rRNA from 1 species